UGCAAGUCGAACGGCAGCGCGGGGGCAACCGUGGCGGCGAGUGGCGAACGGGUGAGUAAUAUAUCGGAACGUACCCAAGAGUGGGGGAUAACGUAGCGAAAGUUACGCUAAUACCGCAUACGAUCUAAGGAUGAAAGCAGGGGAUCGCAAGACCUUGUGCUCCUGGAGCGGCCGAUAUCUGAUUAGCUAGUUGGUGGGGUAAAGGCCCACCAAGGCAACGAUCAGUAGCUGGUCUGANAGGACGACCAGCCACACUGGAACUGAGACACGGUCCAGACUCCUACGGGAGGCAGCAGUGGGGAAUUUUGGACAAUGGGGGCAACCCUGAUCCAGCAAUGCCGCGUGAGUGAAGAAGGCCUUCGGGUUGUAAAGCUCUUUUGUCAGGGAAGAAAAGGCUGUGGCUAAUAUCCACAGCUGCUGACGGUACCUGAAGAAUAAGCACCGGCUAACUACGUGCCAGCAGCCGCGGUAAUACGUAGGGUGCAAGCGUUAAUCGGAAUUACUGGGCGUAAAGCGUGCGCAGGCGGUUUCGUAAGUCUGUCGUGAAAUCCCCGGGCUUAACCUGGGAAUGGCGAUGGAGACUGCGAAGCUAGAGUUUGGCAGAGGGGGGUAGAAUUCCACGUGUAGCAGUGAAAUGCGUAGAGAUGUGGAGGAACACCGAUGGCGAAGGCAGCCCCCUGGGUCAAAACUGACGCUCAUGCACGAAAGCGUGGGGAGCAAACAGGAUUAGAUACCCUGGUAGUCCACGCCCUAAACGAUGUCUACUAGUUGUUGGGUCUUAAUUGACUUAGUAACGCAGCUAACGCGUGAAGUAGACCGCCUGGGGAGUACGGUCGCAAGAUUAAAACUCAAAGGAAUUGACGGGGACCCGCACAAGCGGUGGAUGAUGUGGAUUAAUUCGAUGCAACGCGAAAAACCUUACCUACCCUUGACAUGGCAGGNAUCCCGGAGAGAUUUGGGAGUGCUCGAAAGAGAACCUGCACACAGGUGCUGCAUGGCUGUCGUCAGCUCGUGUCGUGAGAUGUUGGGUUAAGUCCCGCAACGAGCGCAACCCUUGUCAUUAGUUGCUACGCAAGAGCACUCUAAUGAGACUGCCGGUGACAAACCGGAGGAAGGUGGGGAUGACGUCAAGUCCUCAUGGCCCUUAUGGGUAGGGCUUCACACGUCAUACAAUGGUACAUACAGAGGGCCGCCAACCC
rnacentral:rRNA from 1 species